UCGAAGCAACGCGAAGAACCUUACCANNNCNUGACAUCCCGCUGCCCGCCUUAGAGAUAAGGCUUUCCCUUCGGGGACAGCGGUGACAGGUGGUGCAUGGUUGUCGUCAGCUCGUGUCGUGAGAUGUUGGGUUAAGUCCCGCAACGAGCGCAACCCUUGAUCUUAGUUGCCAGCAUUCAGUUGGGCACUCUAAGGUGACUGCCGGUGACAAACCGGAGGAAGGUGGGGAUGACGUCAAAUCAUCAUGCCCCUUAUGACCUGGGCUACACACGUGCUACAAUGGACGGUACAAAGGGCAGCCAACCCGCGAGGGGGAGCCAAUCCCAGAAAACCGUUCUCAGUUCGGAUUGCAGGCUGCAACUCGCCUGCAUGAAGCCGGAAUCGCUAGUAAUCGUGGAUCAGCAUGCCACGGUGAAUACGUUCCCGGGCCUUGUACACACCGCCCGUCACACCACGAGAGUUUGUAACACCCGAAGUCGGUGAGGUAACCCUUGUGGAGCCAGCCGCCGAAGGUGGGACAGAUGAUUGGGGUGAAGUCGUAACAAGGUAGCAAU
rnacentral:rRNA from 1 species